rnacentral:rRNA from 1 species
GACGAACGCUGGCGGCGUGCCUAAUACAUGCAAGUCGAGCGAAGUUUUUCUGGUGCUUGCACUAGAAAAACUUAGCGGCGAACGGGUGAGUAACACGUAAAGAACCUGCCUCAUAGACUGGGACAACUAUUGGAAACGAUAGCUAAUACCGGAUAACAGUAUUUCUCGCAUGAGAGAUAUUUAAAAGUUGGUUAUGCUAACACUAUGAGAUGGCUUUGCGGUGCAUUAGCUAGUUGGUGGGGUAAAGGCCCACCAAGGCGACGAUGCAUAGCCGACCUGAGGGGGGGAUCGGCCACCCUGGGACUGAGACCCGGCCCAGACCCCUACGGGGGGCCGGGGGAGGGAAUUUGCCGCAAGGGGCGAAAGCCUGACGGAGCAACGCCGCGUGAGUGAAGAAGGUUUUCGGUUCGUAAAGCUCUGUUGUUAGGGAAGAAUGGAUAUGUAGUAACUAUACAUGUAAGGGCCGGUACCUACCCAGAAAGCCCCGGCUAACUACGG